AUUGAACGCUGGCGGCAGGCCUAACACAUGCAAGUCGAACGAGUGGCGGACGGGUGAGUAAUGUCUGGGAAACUGCCCGAUGGAGGGGGAUAACUACUGGAAACGGUAGCUAAUACCGCAUACCAUCGGAUGUGCCCAGAUGGGAUGGGCUGGUGGGGGGGGUAACGGCUCACCUGGGCGACGAUCCCUAGCUGGUCUGAGAGGAUGACGGGCCACACUGGAACUGAGACAGGGUCCAGACUCCUACGGGAGGCAGCAGGGGGGAAUAUUGCACAAUGGGGGCAAGCCUGAUGCAGCAAUGCCGCGUGUAUGAAGAGGGCCUUCGGGUUGUAAGGUACUUUCAGCGGGGAGGCGUUACUCGCAGAAGAAGCAUCGGCUAACUCCGUGCCAGCAGCCGCGGUAAUUC
rnacentral:rRNA from 1 species